rnacentral:rRNA from 1 species
CGUUGUCCGGAAUCAUUGGGGGUAAAGCGCGCGUAGGUGGCCUCAUAAGUCCGUUGUGAAAGUCAAAGGCUCAACCUUUGAAAGCCGAUGGAUACUGUGAGGCUAGAGUCCGGAAGAGGCGAGUGGAAUUCCUGGUGUAGCGGUGGAAUGCGCAGAUAUCAGGAGGAACACCAAUAGCGAAGGCAGCUCGCUGGGACGGUACUGACACUGAGGCGCGAAAGCGUGGGGAGCAAACCGG